UUUAUUAAUUCUUUGUUCUUAACCAGACUCCCACUGUUACUGAGAAAGGAAAAAAAUAUUGUGAUCUUUCUGCAUCUGAGGCAAGCAAAUGCCUGACAUAACUGAUGUAUGUCUACCCUAAUUUACAGGGACAUACAAGAAUACUAUGUGGUGUAUGCCUGAGGAUGAAAGAGAUCUUGACCCUGAGGCACAGUGACCUACAGUGAGGUAGCCUGUGCUACAGCUAGUUAAGCUCACAUUUUCUUGAAGGUGGGUGGAGGUGUAAUCAACACCCAGCAGGACAUUGUCCAGAGAACAUGAUCUGCUUAUCUUCUUAUCAGACGUCUACCCUAAGAAUGCUGAAACAGUGUUUUAGGAAUUCAUCUCUAACAUUUAGAUUUAUAUGGCCAAAAUGGACCUCUCUGCAUCAGUCAGGAGUAGUGCAAAGCAAAGAGCAUCACAUAGCAGUUUCUGCAGCUAGUGGAGAACUGGAUUAUAGCAUGUUUCAAAAAGAUGUUCCGGCUUCCUUUUCUCUCUGUUACAGAUUCUGUUCUAUUGCCUCAGUCCUUAUCUGUAGGUAUUUUGGCUUUUAGUAGUGCUUCACUAUACCAAUAGAAAUCUUUCAUUGUAAUAUGUCUAUAUUGCUCUCUCCUAAAUAAAAGAUAUAUUAAUUUUAUGAUAA